GGGGUUGUAGCUCAUCUGGUAGAGCGCGUGCUUAGCAUACCGUAGAUAACUGCUCGUAUGAUCAUUGGUACUAUCCUCAUGCACGGGGUACCGGGUUUGACUCCCAGCUUCUCCA